GACGAACGCUGGCGGCGUGCCUAAUACAUGCAAGUCGAACGAGAGCGCCCGGUGCUUGCACUGGUCAAUCUAGUGGCGAACGGGUGAGUAACACGUGGGUAACCUGCCCAUCAGAGGGGGAUAACAUCCGGAAACGGAUGCUAAAACCGCAUAGGUCUUCGAACCGCAUGGUUUGAAGAGGAAAAGAGGCGCAAGCUUCUGCUGAUGGAUGGACCCGCGGUGCAUUAGCUAGUUGGUGAGGUAACGACUCACCAAGGCCGUGAUGCAUAGCCGACCUGAGAGGGUGAUCGGCCACAUUGGGACUGAGACGCGGCCCAAACUCCUACGGGAGGCAGCAGUAGGGAAUCUUCCGCAAUGGACGCAAGUCUGACGGAGCAACGCCGCGUGAGUGAAGAAGGUUUUCGGAUCGUAAAACUCUGUUGUUAGAGAAGAACAAGUGCUAGAGUAACUGUUAGCGCCUUGACGGUAUCUAACCAGAAAGCCACGGCUAACUACGUG
rnacentral:rRNA from 1 species